UGGGGAAUAUUAGGCAAUGGGGGAAACCCUGACCUAGCAACGCCGCGUGAAGGAAGAAGGCUUUCGGGUUGUAAACUUCUUUUACCAGGGACGAAGAACGUGACGGUACCUGGAGAAAAAGCUCCGGCUAACUACGUGCCAGCAGCCGCGGUAAUACGUAGGGAGCAAGCGUUGUCCGGAUUUACUGGGUGUAAAGGGCGUGUAGGCGGAGCAGCAAGUCAGAAGUGAAAUCUCCGGGCUUAACCCGGAAACUGCUUUUGAAACUGUUGCCCUUGAGUAUCGGAGAGGCAGGCGGAAUUCCUAGUGUAGCGGUGAAAU
rnacentral:rRNA from 1 species